UACAUUAUAAAAGUACAGAUGUGGUAAGGCGGCGACGGGCUGGCAGACAGGUUAGGGCGAAAUGCUUAGCCGUAUUUCGUCUGCGUUACGUUGUGAGUUCAAAUUCCGCCGAGGUUGACUUUGCCUUUCAUCCUUUCGGGGUCGAUAAAUUAAGUACCA